rnacentral:rRNA from 1 species
GCAAGUCGAGGGGCAGCAUUUGCAGCUUGCUGGAAGAUGGCAACCGGCGCACGGGUAAGUAACGCGUAUGCAACCUACCUUAUAGUGGGGGAUAGCCCAAAGAAAUUUGGAUUAAGACCGCAUAACAAUGUUUUGUCGCAUGGCAGACGAUUUAAAGCUCCGGUGGUAUAAGAUGGGCAUGCGUAGGAUUAGUUAGUUGGUGAGGUAACGGCUCACCAAGACAAUGAUGCUUAGGUGGUCUGAGAGGAUGGUC